AUGCCAUGGGUUUCUUGAAGACAGUGAACACUCGGGCACAUGCUUUUAUCCAACAAGACAAUGUCUUUUAAUUGCAGUUCAGAGGCCACUUACGGUGAUGACUACUUUUAGGAAGCUCACUUAUGUAAGCAUAAUAGGUACAUUCAACAGAAAAACCUAUGAAGAUAAAAGUUUAUUCAUCUAUCCAUAAAUGGUGGCAUGGCAUGUUUGACAGAAGCCUCCAGGACAAGAAUAUUUUACUCGCAUCUUAUUUCUGAAUUAUUUUAAACUGUUUAAAAUACAAGAGGCAGAUAAUUUCUAAAGCCAAUCGACCAAGUUUUGUGGGUGAAGUAAUUACAAAGAGGUGAGCAGAACUUAUAGAGCUCUAUUUGGGAAAGUAGAGUUAAAUAAACCCCCAUAACGGAGCCAAGAAUUCAUUGGAAACGAAUGAACUGGGAUACACGAACGGAAGAGUUUGGUGUGGAAACAAGUCCAUGUUCUCCUGUUACUACUGAUGAAGAGGUAGACUUUAUCAAAGAGUCAAGCUGGUUUUACAUUCAGAAAAUACCAGUAUAAAAUUCUCAUAACGGAGGACACAGAAUGCGAGCCCCGAUCACGCCUUGAGAUCUGUUUACCUUUGAUUUUAAAAUAUCGGACAAUAGAGAGCGAGACAGCGGAGAAUACAAUGAGUAACCAAUGGUUCGAUUGCAGAUAGAAGACUCAUAUAGCAUAGCUGUAAGUGAUGUGACAUCCAUAUCCAGUGCCAGGAACCCCUGCAGCAACACCGAGCUCUCCACGUGUAGAUGUGCCGGGAAACAAGCAUGAGUUGAGCAAGCAACCG
rnacentral:lncRNA from 1 species